rnacentral:rRNA from 1 species
GACGAACGCUGGCGGCGUGCUUAACACAUGCAAGUCGAACGCUGAAGCUUGGUGCUUGCACUGGGUGGAUGAGUGGCGAACGGGUGAGUAAUACGUGAGUAACCUGCCCUUGACUCUGGGAUAAGCCUGGGAAACUGGGUCUAAUACUGGAUACGACAUGUCACCGCAUGGUGGUGUGUGGAAAGGGUUUUACUGGUUUUGGAUGGGCUCACGGCCUAUCAGCUUGUUGGUGGGGUAAUGGCUCACCAAGGCGACGACGGGUAGCCGGCCUGAGAGGGUGACCGGCCACACUGGGACUGAGACACGGCCCAGACUCCUACGGGAGGCAGCAGUGGGGAAUAUUGCACAAUGGGCGGAAGCCUGAUGCAGCGACGCCGCGUGAGGGAUGACGGCCUUCGGGUUGUAAACCUCUUUCAGCACGGAAGAAGCGAAAUUGACGGUACGUGCAGAAGAAGCGCCGGCUAACUACGUG